GGACAGAUGGCCGAGCGGUUGAAGGCGGCAGUCUCGAAAACUGCUAUACCUGUUUGGGUAUCGUGGGUUCGAAUCCCACUCUGUCCGCCA
rnacentral:tRNA from 1 species